UGAGUGAAGAAGGCCUUCGGGUUGUAAAGCUCUUUUGUCUGGGAAGAAACGGCUCAGGCUAAUAUCCUGGGCUAAUGACGGUACCUGAAGAAUAAGCACCGGCUAACUACGUGCCAGCAGCCGCGGUAAUACGUAGGGUGCAAGCGUUAAUCGGAAUUACUGGGCGUAAAGCGUGCGCAGGCGGUUUUGUAAGUCUGUCGUGAAAGCCUCGGGCUUAACCUGGGAAUUGCGAUGGAGACUGCAAGGCUUGAAUCUGGCAGAGGGGGGUAGAAUUCCACGUGUAGCAGUGAAAUGCGUAGAGAUGUGGAGGAACACCGAUGGCGAAGGCAGCCCCCUGGGUCAAGAUUGACGCUCAUGCACGAAAGCGUGGGGAGCAAACAGGAUUAGAUACCCUGGUAGUCCACGCCCUAAACGA
rnacentral:rRNA from 1 species